GUCUACGGCCAUACUACCCUGAACAAGACCAAUCCUGCCUGAUCUCGGAAGCUAAGCAGGGUUGGGCCUGGUUAGUAAUUGGAUGAGAGACCACCUAGGAAGACUGGGUGCUGUAGGUA
rnacentral:rRNA from 1 species